AAGGGUUCCUGCGCAAUGCUAAUCAGCGCAGGGUUAGCCGGCCCCUAAGUCGAGGCAGACAUGCGUAGACGAUGGGAACCACGUUAAUAUUCGUGGGCCUGGUGGUAGUGACGGAUCGCGCGGGUUCGUAUCCCCUUAUCGGAUUGGGGGUGCGAUGAGCCGGUUCCAGGAAAUAGCUCCACCAAUAUAGACCGUACCCUAAACCGACACAGGUGGACUGGUAGAGCAUACCAAGGCGCUUGAGAGAACUAUACUGAAGGAACUCGGCAAAUUGCACGCGUAACUUCGGGAUAAGCGUGACCUCUAUUCGGGCAACCGGGUAGGGGUGGCACAAAAGAGGGGGUGGCGACUGUUUACUAAAAACACAGGGCUCUGCGAAGAUGCAAAUCGACGUAUAGGGUCUGACGCCUGCCCGGCGCCGGAAGGUUAAAUGGAGGGGUGCAAGCUCUGAAAUGAAGCCCCGGUAAACGGCGGCCGUAACAAUAACGGUCCUAAGGUAGCGAAAUUCCUUGUCGGGUAAGUUCCGACCUGCACGAAUGGCGUAACGACUUCCCCACUGUCUCCAGUAUAGACUCAGCGAAAUUGAAUUCCCCGUGAAGAUGCGGGGUUCCUGCGGUCAGACGGAAAGACCCCAUGAACCUUUACUAUAGCUUUGCGCUGGCAUUCGUGUCGGCAUGUGCAGGAUAGGUGGUAGGCUUUGAAGUCAGGACGCUAGUUCGGAUGGAGCCGCAAGAUGAGAUACCACCCUUAUUGGCAUGGAUGUCUAACCGCGGUGUAACAGCACCCGGGACAGCGCAUGGUGGGUAGUUUGACUGGGGCGGUCGCCUCCCAAAGAGUAACGGAGGCGCGCGAUGGUGGGCUCAGACCGGUCGGAAAUCGGUCGUUGAGUGCAAUGGCAUAAGCCUGCCUGACUGCGAGACUGACAAGUCGAGCAGAGUCGAAAGACGGUCAUAGUGAUCCGGUGGUCCCGCGUGGAAGGGCCAUCGCUCAACGAAUAAAAGGUACUCUGGGGAUAACAGGCUGAUACUGCCCAAGAGUCCAUAUCGACGGCAGUGUUUGGCACCUCGAUGUCGGCUCAUCACAUCCUGGGGCUGGAGCAGGUCCCAAGGGUAUGGCUGUUCGCCAUUUAAAGUGGUACGUGAGCUGGGUUUAGAACGUCGUGAGACAGUUCGGUCCCUAUCUGCCGUGGGUGUAGGAAUAUUGAGAAGAGCUGACCCUAGUGCGAGAGGACCGGGUUGGACGAAUCUCUGGUGGACCUGUUGUGGCGCCAGCCGCAUUGCAGGGUAGCUAUAUUCGGACGGGAUAACUGCUGAAAGCAUCUAAGCAGGAAGCCUCCUUCAAAACGAGUAUUCCCUUGAGAGCCGUGGAAGACCACCACGUUGAUAGGCCAGAUGUGGAAGCGCGGCAACGCGUGAAGCUGACUGGUACUAAUAGCCC
rnacentral:rRNA from 1 species